rnacentral:rRNA from 1 species
ACCGAAUUGUGGUCUGGAGACUGUUGCGUUAUGGGCCGGGCCAAGUCCCUUGGAACAGGGCAGCCGAGAGGGUGAGACUCCCGUCCGCCUGGCCUUUGGAGCGAUGGUCAACGAGUCGAGUUGUUUGGGAUUGCAGCUCCAAGUAGGUGGUAAAUUCCAUCGAAAGCUAAAUACUGGUGGGAGACCGAUAGCGUACAAGUACCGUGAGGGAAAGAUGCAAAGCCGCGCGAAAGCGCUGUUAAAGAGUACCUGAAAUUGCUGAAACGGAAGCAAAGGAAACCAGUGCCAGCUGCGUCAUACUUCCUUGGCUGCUUGCGGCCGGGGCGCUGUGGCCAGCGUUGUCCGACUGGGUUGGUUGGGCCGGAAAAGCCCUGCAGAAAGUUGAUCUGCAGGGU